CGGUUAACCAGCACUCGGGGCUGGGGGAGGGGGACCCUCUUCGGGUCUUGGGGUGCGUCCCCACGGGGAAGUGCGCUGCCUUCGCUCGCCAGUGCUCGGCUCCCCAACAGCCUGGGAAGUGGGUGUGGCUGCUGCCGCGUUACAACUAGGGAAACUGGGACCUGAGUCGGGCAAAGCCGCUGAGCUGCACGUUGGGGUUUCAAACCCGCCCCCUCUGGCACGAGCGAGCGCCGCCCCAGCUCCUCCUCGGUCUUAAGUCGGGCUCUUUGUGGGGCGAGGGUGCCUGCCUACCCCCACCCUCCAGUUUGCCCCGGGAGCAGCUGCCUCGGUGGAACGGCCCAGCCAGGCCUCUCUUCCCCUGCGGAGGUCAAAGGUCAUCAGGAAGGAGCUUUAAAAACAAACAACCCACCCAAGUGGCCUUUUUCAAAAAGUGACACAGGAUGGCAGGGUCCUGAGCCCUUGUUUUUGUUUGCACAAAGCCACCAGUAGAUAAAGCCCGCCACUGCCGAUGACUUUCUAAGACCAGGCUCCCUCCAGAAAUGGCCGGGAAGACUGUGGCUUCGACGGUGACUCAGAACAAACCAGAGUCGCGGGUUCCUUCCUCCCCAGUCCAACGCUGAGGGCUGCACCAGGCGCUGAGCUAUGCCAAGCACGUUAGGAAAACAAACCCUGGUUUGCUGCCUUUGCAAUGACUUACAACAAAAGAAACCACAUUAAUAACUGA